AUGGAGCCGACCUUGAAAUACCACCCUUUAAUGUUUGAUGUUCUAACGUUGACCCGUAAUCCGGGUUGCGGACAGUGUCUGGUGGGUAGUUUGACUGGGGCGGUCUCCUCCUAAAGAGUAACGGAGGAGCACGAAGGUUGGCUAAUCCUGGUCGGACAUCAGGAGGUUAGUGCAAUGGCAUAAGCCAGCUUGACUGCGAGCGUGACGGCGCGAGCAGGUGCGAAAGCAGGUCAUAGUGAUCCGGUGGUUCUGAAUGGAAGGGCCAUCGCUCAACGGAUAAAAGGUACUCCGGGGAUAACAGGCUGAUACCGCCCAAGAGUUCAUAUCGACGGCGGUGUUUGGCACCUCGAUGUCGGCUCAUCACAUCCUGGGGCUGAAGUAGGUCCCAAGGGUAUGGCUGUUCGCCAUUUAAAGUGGUACGCGAGCUGGGUUUAGAACGUCGUGAGACAGUUCGGUCCCUAUCUGCCGUGGGCGCUGGAGAACUGAGGGGGGCUGCUCCUAGUACGAGAGGACCGGAGUGGACGCAUCACUGGUGUUCGGGUUGUCAUGCCAAUGGCACUGC
rnacentral:rRNA from 1 species